GAAUGAAUGAGCAGGGGCCUGUCCUGGGCUAAGAGCGUCGGGUUCCAACAGGAGCAACACAGGCCACGCUCGCUGCAGCCCCUCUCCUGGUUGUCUGAGCAACAGGGACACUUGUGUUAAAGUGCUCUGGGAGGUGACUGGUGCCAAGACAGCUGGCGGGACCGUGCUGCCUUCUUUUGAGCUGCUCGAGGCCCCGGCUCACUGCUGUUUGGCAGGGGAAUGGCGUCUUUGAGAAAGCAGGAAGGCCAGCUGACACAUUUGGCUCUGUUUCCAACUGACAAUCCAGAGCCUAAACUGAAAUGCCCUGCUCUCCAGUUUCAUAAAGCUUUUCUCUUCACUCAGCGAAAGGCGGAACAGAUAGGCUUGGACUCCAGGAGCCUGGGGUCUUGAGGAACCACCGCACCCCCACCGUUAGCCCAACUAAGGAUCGGGAGCAUCACAGGCUCAGCCAGAGGGAUGGGGUGUGCGGCCACUUUUGAGGACAGCGUGAUGAAGGCUGCUCUCACUCAAAGACACACUUCCCUUUUUGACGCGUUGCUGGGACUUCCAGCAAUGCUCUCCUCCAAAGCCUGAAAGUCCAUGACCAUUGUUGAAAAGACACAGUAAUCGUGGUAGGAUCCCAGACCCUGGGCCAGGCACUGCUUGGAUGAGCUCUUCACUCCUCACAUCAGCCCCACGGAGAGACCGCGGGCAGCCUGACCUAGGCCUAAGAGCGUGGGCUCUGGAGACUGACGGCUGUUUGACCCUGGCUUUCAGAUUGUCCUCCCACUCCAGCCUUUCCUCGUACAGCUUCUUCUCGGCCAGAUGCUCCUGCAGCUUUUCCUUCAGCAAGGACUGCUGAGUCUCCUGGAAAGUGUCCAUCUUGAUCUGAAAUGAGAGGAGAGGCUGGCCUGUUGGAGAGCAGAGUCGAGUCGCUUCAGCUGAGGCCAGCCAAGAUCAACCAAAAGCCAGUGAUGCCCAGAUGUGUGAGCACGCCCAUCCAAGAUGAGCAGAGCCAUCUAGCUGCUGACCUCAAAUACAUGAGCAAUAAACACCUCUGAAGUUUCUUGGUUAUUUAUUAUACAGCAUUAUUAUGGCAAUAGGUAUUGGAGUGAGAUAAUCCCUAAGCAUUGUUUGGCCUAUAAAAUGUUGCUUUUAUGUGGUAUUUGGUAAAUCUUCUGCCUGUACUGCAGAUAGCUGUACUUCUUUU